AUACGGAUGGUGCGAGCGUUGUUCGGAAUUACUGGGCGUAAAGGGCGCGUAGGCGGCCCUGUAAGUCAGGUGUGAAAGCCCACGGCUCAACCGUGGAAGUGCAUCUGAAACUGCAAGGCUUGAGUACUGGAGGGGAGUGUGGAAUUCCUGGUGUAGAGGUGAAAUUCGUAGAUAUCAGGAGGAAUACCGGUGGCGAAGGCGACACUCUGGACAGAUACUGACGCUGAGGCGCGAAAGCGUGGGGAGCAAACAGGAUUAGAAACCCCAGUAGUCC
rnacentral:rRNA from 1 species